rnacentral:rRNA from 1 species
GAUGAACGCUGGCGGCGUGCCUAAUACAUGCAAGUCGAGCGAACGGACGAGAAGCUUGCUUCUCUGAUGUUAGCGGCGGACGGGUGAGUAACACGUGGAUAACCUACCUAUAAGACUGGGAUAACUUCGGGAAACCGGAGCUAAUACCGGAUAAUAUUUUGAACCGCAUGGUUCAAAAGUGAAAGACGGUCUUGCUGUCACUUAUAGAUGGAUCCGCGCUGCAUUAGCUAGUUGGUAAGGUAACGGCUUACCAAGGCAACGAUGCAUAGCCGACCUGAGAGGGUGAUCGGCCACACUGGAACUGAGACACGGUCCAGACUCCUACGGGAGGCAGCAGUAGGGAAUCUUCCGCAAUGGGCGAAAGCCUGACGGAGCAACGCCGCGUGAGUGAUGAAGGUCUUCGGAUCGUAAAACUCUGUUAUUAGGGAAGAACAUAUGUGUAAGUAACUGUGCACAUCUUGACGGUACCUAAUCAGAAAGCCACGGCUAACUACGUGCCAGCAGCCGCGGUAAUACGUAGGUGGCAAGCGUUAUCCGGAAUUAUUGGGCGUAAGCGCGCGUAGGCGGUUUUUUAAGUCUGAUGUGAAAGCCCACGGCUCAACCGUGGAGGGUCAUUGGAAACUGGAAAACUUGAGUGCAGAAGAGGAAAGUGGAAUUCCAUGUGUAGCGGUGAAAUGCGCAGAGAUAUGGAGGAACACCAGUGGCGAAGGCGACUUUCUGGUCUGUAACUGACGCUGAUGUGCGAAAGCGUGGGGAUCAAACAGGAUUAGAUACCCUGGUAGUCCACGCCGUAAACGAUGAGUGCUAAGUGUUAGGGGGUUUCCGCCCCUUAGUGCUGCAGCUAACGCAUUAAGCACUCCGCCUGGGGAGUACGACCGCAAGGUUGAAACUCAAAGGAAUUGACGGGGACCCGCACAAGCGGUGGAGCAUGUGGUUUAAUUCGAAGCAACGCGAAGAACCUUACCAAAUCUUGACAUCCUUUGACAACUCUAGAGAUAGAGCCUUCCCCUUCGGGGGACAAAGUGACAGGUGGUGCAUGGUUGUCGUCAGCUCGUGUCGUGAGAUGUUGGGUUAAGUCCCGCAACGAGCGCAACCCUUAAGCUUAGUUGCCAUCAUUAAGUUGGGCACUCUAAGUUGACUGCCGGUGACAAACCGGAGGAAGGUGGGGAUGACGUCAAAUCAUCAUGCCCCUUAUGAUUUGGGCUACACACGUGCUACAAUGGACAAUACAAAGGGCAGCGAAACCGCGAGGUCAAGCAAAUCCCAUAAAGUUGUUCUCAGUUCGGAUUGUAGUCUGCAACUCGACUACAUGAAGCUGGAAUCGCUAGUAAUCGUAGAUCAGCAUGCUACGGUGAAUACGUUCCCGGGUCU